rnacentral:rRNA from 1 species
GAAAGGCCAAUCAAACUCGGAGAUAGCUGGUUCUCCCCGAAAGCUAUUUAGGUAGCGCCUCGGACGAAUACUACUGGGGGUAGAGCACUGUUAAGGCUAGGGGGUCAUCCCGACUUACCAACCCUUUGCAAACUCCGAAUACCAGUAAGUACUAUCCGGGAGACACACGGCGGGUGCUAACGUCCGUCGUGAAGAGGGAAACAACCCAGACCGCCAGCUAAGGUCCCAAAGUUAUAGCUAAGUGGGAAACGAUGUGGGAAGGCUCAGACAGCCAGGAUGUUGGCUUAGAAGCAGCCAUCAUUUAAAGAAAGCGUAAUAGCUCACUGGUCGAGUCGGCCUGCGCGGAAGAUUUAACGGGGCUAAGCUAUACACCGAAGCUGCGGCAAUGAAGUUUUACUUCAUUGGGUAGGGGAGCGUUCUGUAAGCCGUUGAAGGUGAAUCGUAAGGUUUGCUGGAGGUAUCAGAAGUGCGAAUGCUGACAUGAGUAACGAUAAAGGGAGUGAAAAACUCCCUCGCCGGAAGAUCAAGGGUUCCUGUCCAACGUUAAUCGGGGCAGGGUAAGUCGACCCCUAAGGCGAGGCCGAAAGGCGUAGUCGAUGGGAAACGGGUUAAUAUUCCCGUACUUCUUAUAAUUGCGAUGGAGGGACGGAGAAGGCUAGGUGAGCCUGGCGACGGUUGUCCAGGUCCAAGUAUGUAGGCUGAUGGUUUAGGCAAAUCCGGACCAUCUUAAGGCUGAGAUACGAUGUCGAGUUACUACGGUAACGAAGUCAUUGAUGCCAU